GUGCUCGCUUCAGCAGCACAUAUACUAAAAUUGCAACGAUACAGAGAAGAUUAGCAUGGCUCCUGCGCAAGGAUGACAAGCAAAAAAAUAUGGCUAAUGUGGAAAUCUGUU